rnacentral:rRNA from 1 species
GAUGAACGCUGGCGGCGUGCCUAAUACAUGCAAGUCGAGCGAACAGACGAGGAGCUUGCUCCUCUGACGUUAGCGGCGGACGGGUGAGUAACACGUGGAUAACCUACCUAUAAGACUGGGAUAACUUCGGGAAACCGGAGCUAAUACCGGAUAAUAUAUUGAACCGCAUGGUUCAAUAGUGAAAGACGGUUUUGCUGUCACUUAUAGAUGGAUCCGCGCCGCAUUAGCUAGUUGGUAAGGUAACGGCUUACCAAGGCAACGAUGCGUAGCCGACCUGAGAGGGUGGCUCGCCACACUGGAACUGAGACACGGUCCAGACUCCUACGGGAGGCAGCAGUAGGGAAUCUUCCGCAAUGGGCGAAAGCCUGACGGAGCAACGCCGCGUGAGUGAUGAAGGUCUUCGGAUCGUAAAACUCUGUUAUUAGGGAAGAACAAAUGUGUAAGUAACUAUGCACGUCUUGACGGUACCUAAUCAGAAAGCCACGGCUAACUACGUG